rnacentral:tmRNA from 1 species
GGGGGUGCACUGGUUUCGACGGGGAUGUUGAGCAUAAGUAAGCGAGCCGUGUUUUUUGAAUCUGGGGUACACGUAAAAGAACUGGGUUCAUAAUUUAAACGCUAAAAAUAAUUACGCUUUCGCAGCUUAAUUAAGCUGCAGUCCGCCUUCUCGUUAUAGGACCUGGUCACUGUCUCCUGAGAAGUGCCGACUCACACAACCUUUACAGUGAACAAAGCUGGCGCUCGUCUCGACGCCAGGGGGUAACUCAGAGACUUGCUCCUACACUCUGCUAGUCACGGAGUUAGUGUAGGAGGACAAUUUAUACGUGAAUGCGCUCGGAGAAAGCUUAUGUAUUGCAUGUUCGGACGUGGGUUCGAUUCCCACCACUUCCACCA